GCUGCCGUGGCCCGCGGGCGUAGGCCGCGCGCUGCUGUGGACAGCGGGAGGCGCUCUGCUGCUGGCGUUCCCGUACGCCGCGGAGGCCC
rnacentral:tRNA from 1 species